rnacentral:rRNA from 1 species
UGAGGAAUCUUCCACAAUGGACGAAAGUCUGAUGGAGCAACUCCGCGUGCAGGAUGAAGGCCCUCGGGUCGUAAACUGCUUUUAUGAGUGAAGAAUAUGACGGUAACUCAUGAAUAAGGGUCGGCUAACUACGUGCCAGCAGCCGCGGUCAUACGUAGGACCCAAGCGUUAUCCGGAGUGACUGGGCGUAAAGAGUUGCGUAGGUGGUUAGUAAAGUGAAUAGUGAAAUCUGGCGGCUCAACCGUACAGGCUAUUAUUCAAACUCACAAACUCGAGAAUGGUAGAGGUAACUGGAAUUUCUAGUGUAGGAGUGAAAUCCGUAGAUAUUAGAAGGAACACCAAUGGCGUAGGCAGGUUACUGGACCAUUUCUGACACUGAGGCACGAAAGCGUGGGGAGCGAACCGGAUUAGAUACCCGGGUAGUCC